UGGCGGAGGCGCCGGAGGAGCCCCCGAGCUGCAGCCGUCUCCCUCGGGCUGCUGCCGGUGCUGCGGGCGGAGGCGGCUCCGCCGCGUGUUGGGCGCUGCGAGCAGGGAGCGCUGCGGUAUCGCCGGCAUGACGGGGCUGCUGCCUGCGUUAGUGCCCGUGGCUCUUUGUGCCGUGACAGCGGAUGGAGCGGCGCUGGGCGGUAAAGCCAGAGAUGGCCGGGAGAAUGCCCAGCGCAGGGAGCGGGCGGGCUGUAUGCUUCGGAUGGCACAGGAUACUCAGAAAAUAUGUCUCCCUUAGAGUCCCACAGAAACGUUCUCAGUGUGAUCUCUAUCAAGUGCUAUGAGUCUUGAUCAAUUGGAGAAGAGCCCAAGAGAAAUUUUUCAUCCCUUGAUAUAAAAGGGAUCGGUGAAUUUUAACUUUGGAGUCCCCUAUGCUAAGGAUGCUCAGCUUACAGGUGAUGAAAUGUUCAGUAAUGUAUUUGCUGCAGCUCUGCUUACCCAAGCUUUGGGUUCCUUCUGUCCCACUGGGAGUUGCCCAAUUUGGUUGCAUCUGGUGAAAUUCACCCUGAGACCUUACAGAACCAGCUCCAACUACGUGAGAGCCAUUUGCAGUUCUCUCCAGACGCCUGGAGAAUGGGCGACGUUUCUGAGGAUCCGGCGAGCGUGCUUCUGUCAAAACUCAGUCUGUGAAAUUCCUGGGGAAAACCCUUCUGUGUCCUGAAGGGUUCAAACUCUGGUGAGGAUCCAGUUAUCAGGUGCUCACCUGGAUGGUUCCAGCUCCCAAAGGGAAAGACUCUCGUAUCCUUGUCGUCAGGCUCGGUGCUGUCCAAGAAGAUACGGGGACUAAAAAAAUCAUAAGAAGCAAAAUACGACUGCAGGGAAAAGAAGCUGGAGAGAACAGAAGAAAUGGAAUUGGGACGACGCCUCGGCCAGCCCCUCUCUGCCAUCGUCUCCUGAAUCUGCAGCAGAGCAGUUCCAGUCCAUCCGGGCAUGUGUAAUCCAGUUCCUGAUGAUCUGAGCACACGGAGCAGCGCUCAGCUGCUGUGGGGGGAUCAGGGAGGGCAGAGUGUGCAUUGUCAUCUUCCUGAACCUACAGACAAAUCAAAGUGAGAAGCCACAGCGUGGAAAUCAGUCACAUAUAUGCUAAAUAAAACUUGCAGAUUUUUUUAAGAA